GGUAAACGAAUUAUUGUAGUUACACCUACGUACUAUGUACUACCUUGAUCAGCGCCGUCAUGCGUGGACGCCGGAACUACAACCACGUACCGUUUAUAGGUCUAUGCUUUAACACGAUUAAAUCUUUAAUCACGUUUUAUAUUUCAUGUUUUUAUUAUUUCGACACCAGGAGCGCUAAUGUUCUAUUUUUUACAGCUGUUUCAGAGUAUCAUUUAAUAAGUCACUACGGAAUAAUCAUAAGUCGUUGUGGAGCCUGUAUAUCUUGAAUCGUGGGUAACAAUCAAACAAUUAUGCAUGCGAGUGAUAGUAUAUAAAAACAAUAUCAUAACGAAAUUCUCUAGUGCGCGUCUAUACAACUAUGCUAAUCUCGAAAACUAUACGGAACGGAAACAGAUGCGGUUUUCAUUGGUGUACGAUCUGCAAUCUCGAGGAAAAUUGAUGAUUAUAAUUGCACGCUCACUGAUCAGUCCGAACAAAAUUAUUACCCUAUCACGUAAGAGCACAUAACAGUUCUCUUAGAACUAAUAACAAAAAAAAAAUCAGAUCAGAUUUACCAACACUUAGCCAGAUUAACCCAUUGACUUAUAUUUCUAGAUAGAACAGUGAGCAUGAAAACGCGCUCCGGUGGGUGGAGUUUUAUUUUAAAGGCAAAAACACGUGAAAUAAUAAACAAAGUGCUUUAAUUGGCUGUCUUCGGAGAGCAAAUUUGCUCUCUCUCACACUAGAUGAUGGAUUUAUAUCGGUCCAUCUCUCUUGAACCGUUCGGAUUGACCACGCCUCCCAGUCGUCGGAGUAGAAUGUCCCGUCUAGAUGUAAAAGUCUAUGCUUAUACCUAAAAUACC